AAAUGCGUAGAGAUCUGGAGGAAUACCGGUGGCGAAGGCGGCCCCCUGGACGAAGACUGACGCUCAGGUGCGAAAGCGUGGGGAGCAAACAGGAUUAGAUACCCUGGUAGUCCACGCCGUAAACGAUGUCGACUUGGAGGUUGUGCCCUUGAGGCGUGGCUUCCGGAGCUAACGCGCUAAGUCGACCGCCUGGGGAGUACGGCCGCAAGGUUAAAACUCAAAUGAAUUGACGGGGGCCCGCACAAGCGGUGGAGCAUGUGGUUUAAUUCGAUGCAACGCGAAGAACCUUACCUGGUCUUGACAUCCACGGAAGUUUUCAGAGAUGAGAAUGUGCCUUCGGGAACCGUGAGACAGGUGCUGCAUGGCUGUCGUCAGCUCGUGUUGUGAAAUGUUGGGUUAAGUCCCGCAACGAGCGCAACCCUUAUCCUUUGUUGCCAGCGGUCCGGCCGCGAACUCAAAGGAGACUGCCAGUGAUAAACUGGAGGAAGGUGGGGAUUACGUCAAGUCAUCAUGGCCCUUACGACCAGGGCUACACACGUGCUACAAUGGCGCAUACAAAGAGAAGCGACCUCGUGAGAGCAAGCGGACCUCAUAAAGUGCGUCGUAGUCCGGGUUGGAGUCUGCAACUCGACUCCAUGAAGUCGGAAUCGCUAGUAAUCGUGGAUCAGAAUGCCACGGUGAAUACGUUCCCGGGCCUUGUACACACCGCCCGUCACACCAUGGGAGUGGGUUGCAAAAGAAGUANGUAGCUUAACCUUCGGGAGGGCGCUUACCACUUUGUGAUUCAUGACUGGGGUGAAGUCGUAACAAGGUAACC
rnacentral:rRNA from 1 species